UAUGAGACCCAAACUAGAUCUGAAGAAAUAAAAUAAAUACAAAUUAACUUUUCUUAUUUAAAAAAAAAUUAAAGGAACAGAACUUAAUCAGCAGAUUGGUCUAUUCACAUUACCAAUGAUACCAAUGGCUAUAAAACUAUUGCUUGGCUAAUAAAGCCUGGGCUCAUCCUAUUGCUGUUGUGUAUUUUUUCCAUCCUAUUUAUACACAAAAAUGCAGCACGUAUUCAAAGAGUGUAAUUCCACUUAAGCCCAAGUGCCAUGUGGUUCCUACAGAGGGAUAUGUUUGGAGACCUGAAGAUGAAAUGCUCUUUCAUGGGCACAUCCAUUUCACUUCACCUCGUUUCUCCAGAUUUUGACUAGGCUGUAAUAGUAUUAAACAUCCUUCUUUCAUUUUAUAGAGAAAAUUAUUUUUCCCCUUCCUCUGUUCAACUGAAAUACUGGAAGGAAAACUUUGUGAAAAGGAGGGAUGCAGUUCCAGAAAAGCACAUAUUUUCAUCCACUCUUUGUUAUUGGCAACCUAGCUCCUGGUAACAACACUAGAGGAUUCAGGAGUGAAUGGCCACACUUGAAAGAGCACAGCUCUUACACUCUGCUCUGUCAACAAGACUGAAAACCUCCAGCUUUCCUAGAUUUACCCCAGUCCUGAUGCUGUUAUAAACUUUGUGGUCAGGUGACCGUUGGUAUCUGCUGGGGGUUGAGCAAUGGGUUUGUGUUUAUGGCACACGCACAGCUACUUGAAACCCCCACGUGUCCAUGUGGCAAUGUGUGACUGCACACAGCAAGUUGGGCUUCCUCAUUUCCCUCCCCCAUUGCACUCCACUCCCAGGCCCAGGCUGGCAAAUGGUAAGGGACAGUGUAUCCACAUUGGAAAGCAACACAUCAAGGGACUGAUAAUGUGUAAUGGAAUCAGCCACCAGUUACAGGGAUCUUUCAAAAAAAUUAGAGUAUCACUUGCUACUGAGUUAUGGGCACUUUAAAUUCCAUGCACAUAAGAAAGAGAGACAUCAGUGCUGAACACCAACCUUGUUAAGCUCUUUUAAUAGAAUAGGAGUCAGUGAAACACUGAUACAUCAUUGAUGUCAGCACUCAGCAGAAGUGUCUGGCUGCCUCAGCAUAAUGCAGCAUAAUGUCACAGUGUUUGCUGCAGUUGGAGCACACAGUCCAGGAUUUGUCCUCUUGCCUCUGGAAGUAAGUGAGAGGCAGCCAAAUGAAAUGAAGUCAACAGCUAUUGAUAGAAGAGAUGAAGAAAUUAAGAUAAUCCCUGGAAUGUCCUGAUCUCACUCUGGUAAUACAGUCCCUAGCAAUGUCAUUUGUCCUCUCACAAUGUUCCAUUCAAUUAACUGUUUCUUCAGAUUUAUUGCUUUCCUGGCUACAAAGAUAGUAAUGGAAGCAGAGUGGUUGUUUUUCAAUUUCCCUUGUCUCUCCAAGCUAUCAGCACAGCAUCAACUUUCCAAAAGGAUACAUACCACUAAUCUAGUGAUGUAUAUAAUGCAGUAUUUAACCUCUGGCAGGAAGGAAUGAAUGGGAAGAAACAGAGCUGUACCUCCGACAAACAAGCACCUGAGAAAGGUGAUAUAAGUCCUAAAGAUAAGCAGUGCCAGCCCUGAGGAGUACACAUGGUGUCUUGUACUGCACUGCAGGGAUGUCAGAGCUCUCAUGCAGGCGCCCAGAGAUAAGCGCUGACAGAGACUCCCUAAGUCUGCAGUUCUCCCCUGGCUUCUUGUGACUGAUGUUACAAGGCUGCCAAUUCCAUCAUGUCAGAAUUUCAGCACUUCUUCAUGGCAUGCUCACAUCUCAGGGAUCCUUAGUGGUAACACUGAGCACGAGGAAUAGACUGGUACAGGCUGCUAGUCUGCCUGUUUAAAUGAAGAUGCAGAUAAAUGGCAGAGGUACCAAGGGUAAAUAUUAGUGUCACUUAUUGUUAAGGCUGCUUAUCAGUGCCCUUAAAAAUCACAAUUUCCAUUGCUUAUAAUUCUCCAAGUUUUACUUGGGCUAAAUUUUCUUGUGGUAGGAGAAUUAGUUUGGGGGGAAAGUACAAUCAAAAUAAGACAGCUCAAAUCAUUGGGCCAUUUUCAAGGAUCAUAGAAGGGUUUGGGUUGAAAGGGACCUUAAACAUCUAGUUUCAAUUCCCCUACCAUAGGCAGUGAUGCCACUUAUUAGAUUAGGUUGCUCAGGGUCCCAUCCAACCUGGCCUUGAACACUUCCAGGGAUGGGGGAGAAAUGGUAGAAACAUCAUAUUGCAACAUGAAAAAGUUCCAGUCCUUUUUUGGGGGAGGAGUAGGCUCCAGCAGAUAGGGGGAAGGGCAGCUUCAGGCAGCUUUAUGUUUGAGCAAGCAGAUUGGACCAAGUCCCCAGUAGGCAGUGGAGAACAGGAAGAGGGAAUGAGUAGGACAAGUCACCAAGGAGUAAGUUUGCAGAAGCAAAGCAAGAGUGACUGACACAGGAGCUGGCAAAAGAAAGCAUUGAGCAUGGGAAGGACAAUUUGGACUGGAAAAGAGUAAAUUGGUGAUGUCAGUUAGCAAUAGGUUCUGUGAAGAGGGAAAGAUAGAUGGAAGGAGAGACUGGGAGAGAGAAAUAGCAUUAAACAAGGUAAGAAAAUAGGUGAAGGACUGAGGACAGGAAGAGCUCCAAGUGCCUACAAAUGGAGGAAAGACUGGGAAAACAGUCAGAAGGCUUGAGACAGGUUCUUCCUAGUGAAGGAUAUUGGGCCUGGAUAUCUUGGUCCCAGAGGUAGUCUGAAGAGAGGAGGUUAGAAUUUGGGACUGGUUAAUAAGAAGUGAGAUGAAAAGCCAAACUGGGAAGAUACAUGACUAAAAUAUUAGUAGAUUUGAGGGAAAGGGAGAGAGGAAUGGAGUUGGGAAAAAAAUAGGUAUAGGAGUUGUAGCCCCAAUGUAUACCUUCCCAAAGCCUAUAUGGACCUCUGGAGACCCUGCUCUGGCAAAGCCUGAGAAACCUGCUGGCAAGGUCUCAUCACCUUCUAGAUAUGAGGCUCCUGACUGCACUUGAAAUUAAUGAGGAUCGUGCCUUAAAUGCAGUACUAUAUAAUUCAAAGCUAUGGAAAAAUGAGAUCCUCUUUAUCUCAAACUGGCCAGCCAGGUUUAAAGAGCCUUUUUGAUAUUAGUUACCUGGGUAUAAAAUGGUAGCAGUAGUCCCUAGAGGCUCCAUGAAGUCUGUUAGUUAAUGCCUUCAGCCACCAUGGUUACUGGCACUGCAGAAUCUUAGAAUCAUAGAAUGGUUUGGGAUAGAAGGGACCUUAAAGAUCAUCUAGGUCCAACCCUCCUGCCAUCAGAGCAGCAUUUUGAAAUACUGUCUGCAAGUUUUUGCUAUGCAAGAACCGUCAGAGGGUGAAGACUGUGCAGAGAACAACUGAUAUCUUGAAAAGCCGUUCAAUACAUUCUCAUCAACUGUUCUGGGCACCGGGAGAGGGAAGGGACUUGGGAAAAACAGAAGAUGAUGGAGCCAUUGACUGCCAUAAUGCAUAUACAGAAAAAAAACCCCAUGUUGACUGGCAGCACGCUGGAAAUCUAGAAGGGAUUCAAUGGCCUCUAAAGGAAAUACAGUUUUAAAUCCUGCCCUGGCUCCCUCUGAAACCUGCAGUGACUUUACUUUGAACUGCAAGGGAGUGAUAUCGGUUCUCAGCUGAUGUCACAGUGCCAAUAAACACGUUCCAUUUGGAGGAAGGGAAAGAAAGCCUGUCUUGACACUGCGAGACCUGUGUCUGCUCAACCAGACAAAGAGAAAAUAUUGGCUUCUGAGGAUCCAUCCUUUCAUUGCAGUUCUUCAAAGAACUGUAGAUCUGAGAUGCCCUUCAUGAGUUUGCUUAUAUCAUGAGCAAGGAAACAGUGGAAGAGCCAUGCUUGUUUUUUCCCACUCUGAAGCCAAGAAAAAAAAUGUUUGAAGAAAAACUGAUGGUAUUUUUCUAAAGAGGUUACUAUUUUUCUUCCCUUUCCUGCUGCAGCUUCUGUUCUGUUUCAUUGCUCUCUUUCCAUGGUAGGAGAGCAGGUGCAAGGCAGACGCUUUGGCAGUAGAGAUGUUCUAGUACUAUAAUUAUAAUCAACAUUUCUGUAUAAAAUACCCAAGGGUUUCUGCAUGCAAAACACAUAUAGGAAGUUUCACGUGGAGUUUUCAGUUGCUUGCUCUUAGUCAUAAGUGCUAAUAUGUUUAAUCUUCUGGAAAAUUCCAUUUUUUGAGGGAGUGGGUCGGGGGUGGUGGGUCGGGGGUGAGAUGAGAGGUAAUGUCUCUGGAAAGUACUGGCUUGACCAGGCUUAAUCCUCCCUUGCAUUCAAGAUGCCCUUGGUAUAGUGGAAUGAGAGGAAGCAUUAUGAAUACUCUGCAAAAGCUUGGAUUUAUGAAUGGCCUCAGCCUCCCCAGCACACCCUUAGGUACAUAUGUAAGGCUGACAGUGGAGAAGGAUCAGAGGCAUGAGCAGCACUAGGCUUUGUCAUUUUUAUGGGCUUUACAUGGGCAUGGGAUUCCCUAUCACAGGCCAAGUAGCAGGACAAAUCUGGAAUGGAACUCAGGACCAGAAAGCAGUGGCAGCGUAAGCUUUCUGGGACUACUCCCUGGAGGAGGCGGACAUGGAGUUUGUGUCCUCCGCUGUGCUAUGCAUGCAAACCACAGUGACAGUUGGGGUAAUGCUUUUCUGAGGUAGACACAAGAAAUUAGCUUGGCUUAACAGCACACCUCAGUAAGCACUGGAACGAAGGAUAUAAUUUUCAAUAAAUCAUUUAUUUCAAAAGGUUUGUCUUUGUGUGUGCAAAUGUGCAUGUUUCUUUAUUUCUGUAAUAUAACUGUGUACAGGCUGAGAAAUACUUGAAUUUUGUAUGUUUAUUUUAAAACUUACAUCUCCAUUUUUAAUAAAUUAUGCACAAACUUG